rnacentral:piRNA from 1 species
UUGUAACAAUAGAAUUUCUUUUAACAUGC